GUGGGUAAUCUACCUCGGGGACGUGGAUAGCCAUUCUAACGAGUGGGUAAUACGCGGCGAUUUGGUUGGGGGGCAUCCCUUGGCCAGGAAAUGAAUUUCGCCUCGAGAGGAACUCACGUGAUAUUAGCUAGUUGGCGGGGUAACGGCCCACCAAGGCAAAGAUGUCUAGCGGGUGUGAGAGCACGACCCGCGCCACUGGCACUGAGACACUGGCCAGACACCUACGGGUGGCUGCAGUCGAGGAUCUUCGGCAAUGGGCGCAAGCCUGACCGAGCGACGCCGCGUGUGCGAUGAAGGCCUUCGGGUUGUAAAGCACUGUCGAGGGGGAGGAAGCCGAAAGGUUGACCUAUCCCUGGAGGAAGGACGGGCUAAGUUCGUGCCAGCAGCCGCGGUAAGACGAACCGUCCUAACGUUGUUCGGAAUCACUGGGCUUAAAGGGCGCGUAGGCGGCUUGCCAAGUCAGGGGUGAAAUCCUGCAGCUUAACUGUAGAAGGGCCUUUGAUACUGGCGAGCUC
rnacentral:rRNA from 1 species